ACCCAAGCAUUACUUCCUCAUCAGAAAGCAAAGCCAGCAUACAUAAAUCCAAUUCCUUGGCAAUCGAUCGUGGAGAUCGAUCCCGUUGAAGCACAAGAGGACACGGUUCACGAGAAAAAAAGGAAUAUAAAUCAGUUGAAAAUAAGCGACAGAAAAACAAUCGCAGCGCAUCAAUGAUUGCAGUCGAGAAGAUCCAUUAAAAUAUUAGAAGAAUAAGAUUUAAAUAGAAGAAUUUAUAGAGUGUUGUGUAACAAAUCAAAAAAUUUUUCUGACAAUUUUUCUUGCUGUUCAAGUCAUUUAAAGUCUCAAUUGCCAAAAUAUUUAAUUACAAAGAUGCACGAAAAUUAUGUCUUCAAUCAUUCUCG